GACGAACGCUGGCGGCGUGCUUAACACAUGCAAGUCGAACGAUUAAGCCCAGCUUGCUGGUUGGUUUAGUGGCGAACGGGUGAGUAACACGUGAGCAACGUGCUCGUAACUCUGGAUUAACUACCGGAAACGGUGCUUAAUACUCGUUAUGUGUCAGGGAGGCAUUUCCUCUGCUUGGAAACAUUUUUCGGUUUCGGAUCGGCUCACGGCCUAUCAGCUUGUUGGUGGGGUAAUGGCCUACCAAGGCGACGAAGGGUAGCCGUCCUGGGAGGGUGACCGGCCACACUGGGACUGAGACACGGCCCAGACUCCUACGGGAGGCAGCAGGGGAGAAUAUUGUACAAUGGGCGCGAGCCUGAUGCAGAAACGCCGCGUGAGGGAAGACGGCCAUCGGGUUGGAAACCUCAUUUAGUAGGGAAGAAGCGCAAGUGACGGUACCAGCAGAAAAAGCACCGGCUAACUACGUG
rnacentral:rRNA from 1 species